rnacentral:rRNA from 1 species
AGUGAACGCUGGCGGUAGGCCUAACACAUGCAAGUCGAACGGCAGCACAGUAAGAGCUUGCUCUUACGGGUGGCGAGUGGCGGACGGGUGAGGAAUACAUCGGAAUCUACUUUUUCGUGGGGGAUAACGUAGGGAAACUUACGCUAAUACCGCAUACGACCUACGGGUGAAAGCAGGGGAUCUUCGGACCUUGCGCGAUUGAAUGAGCCGAUGUCGGAUUAGCUAGUUGGCGGGGUAAAGGCCCACCAAGGCGACGAUCCGUAGCUGGUCUGUGAGGCUGAUCAGCCACACUGGAAGUGAGACACGGUCCAGACUCCUACGGGAGGCAGCAGUGGGGAAUAUUGGACAAUGGGCGCAAGCCUGAUCCAGCCAUACCGCGUGGGUGAAGAAGGCCUUCGGGUUGUAAAGCCCUUUUGUUGGGAAAGAAAAGCAGCAGGUUAAUACCCCGCUGUUCUGACGGUACCCAAAGAAUAAGCACCGGCUAACUUCGUG